UGGGGGAUAUUGCACAAUGGGGGAAACCCUGAUGCAGCGACGCCGCGUGUAGGAAGACGGUCCUCUGGAUUGUAAACCUAAGUAGCCAGGGACGAUAAUGACGGUACCUGGAGAGUAAGCUCCGGCUAACUACGUGCCAGCAGCCGCGGUAAUACGUAGGGAGCGAGCGUUGUCCGGAUUUACUGGGCGUAAAGCGCACGCAGGCGGCGUGACGCGUCAGAAGUGAAAUCCCCGGGCUCAACCUGGGAACUGCUUUUGAAACGGUCAUGCUUGAAUCAUGGAGAGGGUAGCGGAAUUCCGAGUGUAGAGGUGAAAUCCGUAGAUAUCUGGAGGAACACCGGUGGCGAAGGCGGCCACCUGGACGAUAACUGACGCUGAGGUGCGAAAGCGUGGGUAGCAAACA
rnacentral:rRNA from 1 species